UCGAACGAGAAAGCCCUUCGGGGUGAGUAGAGUGGCGAACGGGUGAGUAACACGUGGGCAACCUGCCCCUCGCAGGGGGAUAACCAGAGGAAACUCCGGCUAAUACCCCGUAAGCUUUCAGGGUCGCAUGGCCCUGCAAGGAAAGGUAGCUUCGGCCAUCCGGCGAGGGAUGGGCCCGCGGUGCAUUAGCUAGUUGGUGGGGUAAAGGCCCACCAAGGCGACGAUGCAUAGCUGGUCUGAGAGGAUAAUCAGCCACACUGGGACUGAGACACGGCCCAGACUCCUACGGGAGGCAGCAGCCAGGAAUCUUGGGCAAUGGGCGCAAGCCUGACCCAGCAACACCGUGUGGGCGAUGAAGGCCUUCGGGUCGUAAAGCCCUGUUGAUAGGGACGAAGGGCGAAGGGUUAAUAGCCCCUAGCCUGACGGUACCUUUCGAGGAAGCCCCGGCUAACUACGUGCCAGCAGCCGCGGUAAUACGUAGGGGGCGAGCGUUG
rnacentral:rRNA from 1 species